GAUGAACGCUGGCGGCGUGCCUAAUACAUGCAAGUCGAGCGAACAGACGAGGAGCUUGCUCCUCUGACGUUAGCGGCGGACGGGUGAGUAACACGUGGAUAACCUACCUAUAAGACUGGGAUAACUUCGGGAAACCGGAGCUAAUACCGGAUAAUAUAUUGAACCGCAUGGUUCAAUAGUGAAAGACGGUUUUGCUGUCACUUAUAGAUGGAUCCGCGCCGCAUUAGCUAGUUGGUAAGGUAACGGCUUACCAAGGCGACGAUGCGUAGCCGACCAGAGAGGGUGAUCGGCCACACUGGAACUGAGACACGAUCCAGACUCCUACGGGAGGCAGCAGGAGGGAAUCUUCCGCAAUGGGCGAAAGCCUGACGGAGCAACGCCGCGUGAGUGAUGAAGGUCUUCGGAUCGUAAAACUCUGUUAUUAGGGAAGAACAAAUGUGUAAGUAACUAUGCACGUCUUGACGGUACCUAAGCAGAAAGCCACGGCUAACUACGU
rnacentral:rRNA from 1 species